CCGGCGAUGUCCGAAUGGGGAAACCCAGUGCAAUUCGUUGCACUAUCGUUAACUGAAUACAUAGGUUAACGAGGCGAACCGGGGGAACUGAAACAUCUAAGUACCCCGAGGAAAAGAAAUCAACCGAGAUUCCCCCAGUAGCGGCGAGCGAACGGGGAGCAGCCCAGAGUCUGAAUCAGCUUGUGUGUUAGUGGAACGGUCUGGAAAGUCCGACGGUACAGGGUGAUAGUCCCGUACACCAAAAUGCACAGGCUGUGAACUCGAAGAGUAGGGCGGGACACGUGGUAUCCUGUCUGAAUAUGGGGGGACCAUCCUCCAAGGCUAAAUACUCCUGACUGACCGAUAGUGAACCAGUACCGUGAGGGAAAGGCGAAAAGAACCCCGGCGAGGGGAGUGAAAAAGAACCUGAAACCGUGUACGUACAAGCAGUGGGAGCACCUUCGGGUGUGACUGCGUACCUUUUGUAUAAUGGGUCAGCGACUUAUAUUCUGUAGCAAGGUUAACCGUAUAGGGGAGCCGCAGGGAAACCGAGUCUUAACUGGGCGUUAAGUUGCAGGGUAUAGACCCGAAACCCGGUGAUCUAGCCAUGGGCAGGUUGAAGGUUGGGUAACACUAACUGGAGGACCGAACCGACUAAUGUUGAAAAAUUAGCGGAUGACUUGUGGCUGGGGGUGAAAGGCCAAUCAAACCGGGAGAUAGCUGGUUCUCCCCGAAAGCUAUUUAGGUAGCGCCUCGUGAACUCAUCUUCGGGGGUAGAGCACUGUUUCGGCUAGGGGGUCAUCCCGACUUACCAACCCGAUGCAAACUACGAAUACCGAAGAAUGUUAUCACGGGAGACACACGGCGGGUGCUAACGUCCGUCGUGAAGAGGGAAACAACCCAGACCGCCAGCUAAGGUCCCAAAGUCAUGGUUAAGUGGGAAACGAUGUGGGAAGGCACAGACAGCCAGGAUGUUGGCUUAGAAGCAGCCAUCAUUUAAAGAAAGCGUAAUAGCUCACUGGUCGAGUCGGCCUGCGCGGAAGAUGUAACGGGGCUAAACCAUGCACCGAAGCUGCGGCAGCGACACUAUGUGUUGUUGGGUAGGGGAGCGUUCUGUAAGCCUGCGAAGGUGACCUGUGAGGGUUGCUGGAGGUAUCAGAAGUGCGAAUGCUGACAUAAGUAACGAUAAAGCGGGUGAAAAGCCCGCUCGCCGGAAGACCAAGGGUUCCUGUCCAACGUUAAUCGGGGCAGGGUGAGUCGACCCCUAAGGCGAGGCCGAAAGGCGUAGUCGAUGGGAAACAGGUUAAUAUUCCUGUACUUGGUGUUACUGCGAAGGGGGGACGGAGAAGGCUAUGUUAGCCGGGCGACGGUUGUCCCGGUUUAAGCAUGUAGGCUG
rnacentral:rRNA from 1 species